ensembl:snRNA U6 U6 spliceosomal RNA
GUGCUUGCCUCAGCAGCACAUAAACUAAAAUUGGAGCAAUAUUGAGAUUAAUGUGGUCCCUGUGCAAGGGUGAGACGCAAAUUUGUGAAACAUUCCAUAUUUUU